UAUUGUCAUUUUUUUUCCUGUGGGCACUGUGGCACACAUUAAAAAUGACAUUCUGUUGCUUGCUCUCAAAAGUAAAUAAGCCAAACAUGUUAAA